CUCCGGUUGAUCCUGCCGGACCCGACUGCUAUCGGAUUGAGAUUUAGCCAUGCGAGUUGAACGUUCCUUGAUUGCAGGGAGCGUAGCAUACGGCUCAGUAACACGUAGUCAACAUGCCCAGAGGACGUGGAUAACCUCGGGAAACUGAGUCUAAACCGCGAUAAGUGAGGAUUUCUGGAAUGGUUCCUGACUAAAAUCUAUAUGGCCUCUGGAUUGGACUGCGGCCGAUCAGGCUGUUGGUGAGGUAAUGGCCCACCAAACCUGUAACCGGUACGGGCUCUGAGAGGAGGAGCCCGGAGAUGGGCACUGAGACAAGGGCCCAGGCCCUAUGGGGCGCAGCAGGCGCGAAACCUCUGCAAUAGGCGAAAGCCUGACAGGGUUACUCUGAGUGACUUUCGCUAAGAAAGUCUUUUGGUACCUCUAAAAAGGGUGCAGAAUAAGGGGUGGGCAAGUCUGGUGUCAGCCGCCGCGGUAAUACCAGCACCCCGAGUGGUCGGGACGAUUAUUGGGCCUAAAGCAUCCGUAGCCGGUUCUGCAAGUCCCCCGUUAAAUCCAGCUGCUCAACAGAUGGGCCGCGGAGGAUACUACAGAGCUAGGAGGCAGGAGAGGCAAGCGGUACUUUAUGGGUAGGGGUAAAAUCCGCUGAUCCAUAGAAGACCACCAGUGGCGAAGGCGGCUUGCCAGAACGCGCUCGACGGUGAGGGAUGAAAGCUGGGGGAGCAAACCGGAUUAGAUACCCGGGUAGUCCCAGCUGUAAACGAUGCAGACUCGGUGAUGGGUUGGCUUUGAGCCAACCCAGUGCCGCAGGGAAGCCGUUAAGUCUGCAGCCUGGGCAGUACGGUCGCAAGACUGAAACUUAAAGGAAUUGGCGGGGGAACA
rnacentral:rRNA from 1 species